AAAAACACCAGGAUGAAAUACGUAUAUUCAUGGAGUAUAUGUAUGGUGGGUCAUUAAAGACGUUGAUUGAUGAAUCAAGGGGCUUACUGGAAUCUCGAACGCAGAACUUUACUAAACAAAUACUAGAUGGUCUACAUUUCCUUCAUAAGAGAGGAUAUAUUCAUAGAGACCUUAAAGACCAGCAAGCUACUGAUCUGCAGCUAUACCAUGUAGAGACGGAACUAAAAUUCAAAUUGAAUUAUUACAG